GUGGGCAUAGCUUAAGCGGUAAAGCCGCGGUCUUCAAAACCGCAGUCACGGGUUCGAGUCCUGUUGUCCUCG
rnacentral:tRNA from 1 species